UACGUAGGGAGCAAGCGUUGUCCGGAUUUAUUGGGCGUAAAGAGCGUGUAGGCGGCCUGAAAGGUCAGCUGUGAAAACUCGAGGCUCAACCUCGAGACGUCGGUUGAAACCAUCUGGCUAGAGUCCGGAAGAGGAGUGUGGAAUUCCCGGUGUAGCGGUGAAAUGCGCAGAUAUCGGGAAGAACACCCGUGGCGAAGGCGGCACUCUGGGACGGUACUGACGCUGAGACGCGAAAGCGUGGGGAGCGAACAGG
rnacentral:rRNA from 1 species